rnacentral:rRNA from 1 species
UAGGAACCGUACCCCAAACCGACACAGGUGGUCGGGUAGAGAAUACCAAGGCGCUUGAGAGAACUCGGGUGAAGGAACUAGGCAAAAUGGCACCGUAACUUCGGGAGAAGGUGCGCCGGCUAGGGUGAAGGAUUUACUCCGUAAGCUCUGGCUGGUCGAAGAUACCAGGCCGCUGCGACUGUUUAUUAAAAACACAGCACUCUGCAAACACGAAAGUGGACGUAUAGGGUGUGACGCCUGCCCGGUGCCGGAAGGUUAAUUGAUGGGGUUAGCGCAAGCGAAGCUCUUGAUCGAAGCCCCGGUAAACGGCGGCCGUAACUAUAACGGUCCUAAGGUAGCGAAAUUCCUUGUCGGGUAAGUUCCGACCUGCACGAAUGGCGUAACGAUGGCGGCGCUGUCUCCACCCGAGACUCAGUGAAAUUGAAAUCGCUGUGAAGAUGCAGUGUAUCCGCGGCUAGACGGAAAGACCCCGUGAACCUUUACUGUAGCUUUGCACUGGACUUUGAGCCUGCUUGUGUAGGAUAGGUGGGAGGCUUUGAAGCGUGGACGCCAGUUCGCGUGGAGCCAUCCUUGAAAUACCACCCUGGCAUGCUUGAGGUUCUAACUCUGGUCCGUAAUCCGGAUCGAGGACAGUGUAUGGUGGGCAGUUUGACUGGGGCGGUCUCCUCCUAAAGAGUAACGGAGGAGUACGAAGGUGCGCUCAGACCGGUCGGAAAUCGGUCGCAGAGUAUAAAGGCAAAAGCGCGCUUGACUGCGAGACAGACACGUCGAGCAGGUACGAAAGUAGGUCUUAGUGAUCCGGUGGCUCUGUAUGGAAGGGCCAUCGCUCAACGGAUAAAAGGUACUCCGGGGAUAACAGGCUGAUACCGCCCAAGAGUUCAUAUCGACGGCGGUGUUUGGCACCUCGAUGUCGGCUCAUCACAUCCUGGGGCUGAAGCCGGUCCCAAGGGUAUGGCUGUUCGCCAUUUAAAGUGGUACGCGAGCUGGGUUUAGAACGUCGUGAGACAGUUCGGUCCCUAUCUGCCGUGGACGUUUGAGAUUUGAGAGGGGCUGCUCCUAGUACGGGAGGACCGGAGUGGACGAACCUCUGGUGUUCCGGUUGUCACGCCAGUGGCAUUGCCGGGUAGCUAUGUUCGGAAAAGAUAACCGCUGAAAGCAUCUAAGCGGGAAACUUGCCUCAAGAUGAGAUCUCACUGGGAACUUGAUUCCCCUGAAGGGCCGUCGAAGACUACGACGUUGAUAGGCUGGGUGUGUAAGCGUUGUGAGGCGUUGAGCUAACCAGUACUAAUUGCCCGUGAGGCUUGACCU